GUCACAAUGGGCUCUGCACUAGGAAGGCCAGGCCAUCUCUGGGCUGAGCUUAUUUCUCCUGAGGGUCACAGUAUUCCAAGCAAUCAAACACCCUGUCCAGCGUGGGUACAGACUCAUGCACAGACAGCUUUGGGGCACUGAUUUUGUACACCAGACGGGUAAAUGGAGAAUUCAAAGUCCAAGCAUCAUAGACGUAAAAAAAGGAAAAAAGAGUCAAACAACUUGAAACAUGAUUCUAGCAAUGUUCUG